GACGAACCGUGCAAACGUUGUUCGGAAUCACUGGGCUUAAAGGGCGCGUAGGCGGUCAAACAAGUCAGGGGGUGAAAACCUGCAGCUCAACUGUAGAAGUGCCUCUGAUACUGUUUGUCUUGAGGGAGAUAGGGGUGUGCGGAACUUCCAGUGGAGCGGUGAAAUGCGUUGAUAUUGGAAGGAACGCCGGUGGCGAAAGCGGCGCACUGGAUCUCUACUGACGCUGAGGCGCGAAAGCCAGGGGAGCAAACGGG
rnacentral:rRNA from 1 species